AUUGAACGCUGGCGGCAUGCUUUACACAUGCAAGUCGAACGGCAGCACGGGUGCUUGCACCUGGUUGCGAGUGGCGAACGGGCGAGUAAUAAAUCGGAACAUGUCCGGAAGUUGGGGAUAACGUAGCGAAAGUUACGCUAAUAUCGCAUAUGCCCUGAGGUGGCAAGGGGGGGAUGGCAAGACCUCUCGCUUUCGGAGUUGCCGAUAUCGGAUUAGCUAGUAGGUGCGGUAAAGGCUCACCUAGGCGACGAUACGUAGCUGGUCUGAGAGGACGACCAGCCACACUGGGACUGAGACACGGCCCAGACUCCUACGGGAGGCAGCAGUGGGGAAUUUUGGACAAUGGGCGCAAGCCUGAUCCAGCCAUGCCGCGUGAGUGAAGAAGGCCUUCGGGUUGUAAAGCUCUUUCAGCUGGAAAGAAAUCGUAUCUAUUAAUACUAGGUGCGGAUGACGGUACCAGCAGAAGAAGCACCGGCUAACUACGUGCCAGCCGCCGCAGUAA
rnacentral:rRNA from 1 species